rnacentral:rRNA from 1 species
UACAGAGGUCCCAAGCGUUGUUCGGAUUCACUGGGCGUAAAGGGUGCGUAGGCGGCGUGGUAAGUCGGGUGUGAAAUCUUGGAGCUUAACUCCGAAACUGCAUUCGAUACUGCCGUGCUUGAGGACUGGAGAGGAGACUGGAAUUUACGGUGUAGCGGUGAAAUGCGUAGAUAUCGUAAGGAAGACCAGUGGCGAAGGCGGGUCUCUGGACAGUUCCUGACGCUGAGGCACGAAGGCCAGGGGAGCAAACGGG